rnacentral:rRNA from 1 species
CAAUAGAGUAUAUUAAAGUUGUUGCGGUUAAAAAGCUCGUAGUUGGAUCUCGGCAGGCAGGGGGUGGUUCGCUCUUAGCGCUACUGCCCCAUUUGCCUGUGUGAUUGGCGGAGGUUUCGGGGUGCUCUUCGUUGAGUGACCCGGGGCGCCGUCAGGUUUACUUUGAAAAAAUUAGAGUGCUCAAAGCAGGCUUUUCACGCUUGAAUAUUCGUGCAUGGAAUAAUGGAAUAGGAACUCGUUUCUAUUUUGUUGGUUUUCGGAAAUCGAGUUAAUGAUUAAUAGGGACAAUUGGGGGCAUUAGUAUUCAGACGACAGAGGUGAAAUUCUUGGACCGUCUGAAGACUAACUACUGCGAAAGCAUUUGCCAAGAGUGUUUUCAUUAA